GCUCCGGUGGCCUAAUGGCUAGAGAGUCCGUCUCAAAUGCGGGAGGUCGUGGGUUCGAGUCCCGUCGAGCC